UUUUUAGGAAUUUUCAGCCUGCUCGCGGUUGCGGCGGCUGCACACCAUGCACAAGCAUGCACGUGCUUGCAUGGUAUGCCUGCAGUGUGCUGCUGCCUGCCUCUGUUAUGGAGCGGGGGAGAGGGCGGCAGGCAGCAACCCAACGGCCAACGGCAAAACUGGCGAAGAAUUCCUUCAUCGCCUUACGCGUCAACGGCCGUUCGACCGUUCAAAGUUUAAUCAAUUAGUAAUGGACAACGGACGCCGCAACUCGAGAGGACAGUGGACAAAGUCAUGGAUAAGGACAAACGCCAAACGGACGUCCCGUGGUUCGAACGGAUUGUCUGGAUCCUGCGAUCAAUUGGUUGUCUAAUAACCAUGAUGAUGAGGAGCAGCAACCUGUUGCGGUAGCUGGACACUUAGGAAUUGUGCUUGGCCUUCAGGAAGCUGAUCAAAUCGCUCAAAACCAGACGCACAGAAUAUCUCAACGUAAUCAACAAGGUGAUCACCCUCAUCUCUCAUCAAAGACUAAGCUUCAAGAAGUUAAGUGAGUGCGACGCUGAUGUGAGUUACAAUUAGAGCGUUCAUCGUAUUUGGGAAAUAUUCGGUUCCCCGGGAAUUCCCGGGAAAUUAAUUUAAUCAAUGCCAUUGGAAGAACUUUACAUAAGGAAUUUAAGGUGUUAUUAGGAGGACCAUUUAAGCCUAGGUUAACAUUACUAUUUGUAAUUUUAUUUUUAUAUAAUGUAGUGUUAAAUAAUUUUUUAGAUUUCCUUCUAUUUUCACAAGUACUAGUCUUUUAAGUUUUACCUGAAGUCUAUAUCUUUACCUUCAUGAUUGAUAAGCUUUAAUAUUUUAUGGCUGAAUGAAUAAUGCUCAACAUAUAUUCCUCCAUUUCGUGCCUCAGGGCACUUUGGGAGUGCUUAUUAUACCAUUUAUGGUUUGUAUUGAAACAAUAAUUAGUAAUGUAAUUCGACCAGGAACCUUGGCUGUUCAGUUUUCUGCUAAUAUAAUUGCAGGCCAUUUUUAUUGAUAAUUUAAAUCCGUAACACAGGUCUUAAAAGUUUAAUAGUAUCUCUUUUGAUUUUGGGUCAAAUUUGUUUAUUCGGGAAAUUCGGAUCUCGAGCUGAAGUAUAAGCGGUUAUAUGAGAACCGGGCCGGGCUCAGGUAUUUUUUUCGGGACAGGAAUCCCGAUGAGCAGCUUCAGGGCCUAAGCAAAGCCGCCAUGGUUAUUAGGGCUAUACAAUCACAAACAUAUCCAUGAAUAUAUGCGAGUUCGAUCUCCAAUUUUUGGAUGUCGAUUUGAGGGGAUUUUUUGGCAUUGAAAUUUUAAGGUGACACUUAUGUUUGCGUAAAAGUGUUUGUUAAAUAGGUCGAGAAAUUCCAGGUUUGGAACUCAGGAAUGGGGGACGCAGUCUAAGAGUUACAGUCCACCUUUCAUUCACAGAUUACUCUAUUUUCGGGGAUUUUAGAAAUAACGAAUAAAUAGGGAACCGAGCUUCAAACCUGGAAUUUCACCAUCUUUAUAAACAAUCAGUUUUUUCCAAUUUAUUAAGCAACUAUAAGUGGCAAGAAAAAUUCCCCCGCCAAUAAAUUAAUAAACAAUCAAAUUUUCUUGCUUCCCUCCCCUGGUGCAUGUUAUCAAUUUAAGCCAUCUGCAGGCAGUUUCAAGCGAAUUUUGAAAUUUGGACGGGAUUUUCGGCGUGGAAAUUUUUUCUUGCCACUUAUAGUUGCUUAAUAAAUUGGAAAAAAACCUGAUUGUUUAUAAAGAUGGUGAAAUGUCAGGUUUGAUGCUCGGGAAUCCCUGUUUAUUCGUUAUUUAAAAAUCCCCGGAAAUCGAGUUAUCUGUGAAUGAAAGGUGGACUGUAACUCUUAGACUGCGUCCCCCAUUCCUGAGUUUCAAACCUGGAACAUGGUUCCGAAUUUUCCCCACCCCUGGAAUUUCUCGAUCCAUUUUAUAAGUACUUUUAAGCAAAUCAUCCUUAAUAUUUCGAUGCCAAAAUAUCCCGUCCAAUCGACAAUAAAAAUUUGAAGUUCGAAUUCACCUGCUCAUCGGGAUUCCUGUCCCGAAAAAAAUACCCGAUUCUCAUAUAACUGCUUAAUAUUUCUGCUCAGGAUCCAAAAUUCCUGGGAAUUCCCGGAUUAACAAAAAUUUCUCGAUCUCAAUGGACGCUCUAUUAAGUGUCAUACAAUAGAAUGUUACCCCUGGCGCCAGUGUAUUGCCGGCGUCGAAUUCUAUGGACUGAUGAAUUUAAACCCGUUUUAAAAUGAAUGAGGAAUUAAAAAGAAUUGUUUUAAGAAUAAUCCAGUGAUGAUAUGCGAUGACACAUGAUAACUUAAUAUAUAAAUAAUAUUUAUGUAAGGGUGUGGUAUGAAUCUGCUGAUGGGUCUUUGAAAACAGUAAGAAAUAAAAAUGAUGAAAUUUCAGUAAUACUAA